AAGUCGUAACAAGGUUUCCGUGGGUGAACCUGCGGAAGGAUCAUUAACACGUAUCCAAACGUUAAAACCCCCGUGAACAUUGAUUCCUGCUCUUGUAAUCCGCGAAGCUUGCAAUCUCUGGUAAAUCAUAGCCCGGAAAGUAGUUUUGAUUCAGAGACCUCUGGCCCGUGCGAAAAUUGGAACAGUAGGCCUUGUUUCUCCAAGCAGUCAGUGUCUGAAAGUGUCAGUGAUUGUGCAAGGAUAACGCUUCACGAUUCUUGUAGACCGCACCUCGCGGGCAGGCCCAUGCCCCCUUACAACCCCAGAGUUAAAUGUGAAGCUCAAUGUGAUACAUUGGGUAAAAAACCGAACAACUGUUAACAAUGGAUAUCUUGGUUCUC
rnacentral:misc_RNA from 1 species